AUUGAACGCUGGCGGCAUGCCUGACACAUGCAAGUCGAACGGCAGCACGGGAGCAAUCCUGGUGGCGAGUGGCGAACGGGUGAGUAAAGUAUCGGAACGUGCCCAGUCGUGGGGGAUAACGUAGCGAAAGAUACGCUAAUACCGCAUACGAUCUAUGGAUGAAAGCGGGGGAUCGCACGACCUCGCGCGAUUGGAGCGGCCGAUAACAGAUUAGGUAGGUGGUGGGGUAAAGGCUGACCAAGCGGACGAUCUGUAGCUGGUCUGAGAGGACGACCAGCCACACCGGGACUGAGACACGGCCCAGACUCCUACGGGAGGCAGCAGUGGGGAAUUUUGGACAAUGGGCGAAAGCCUGAUCCAGCCAUGCCGCGUGCAGGAUGAAGGCCUUCGGGUUGUAAACUGCUUUUGUACGGAACGAAAAGGUUUGGCCUAAUAAGCUGAGCUCAUGACGGUACCGUAAGAAUAAGCACCGGCUAACUACGUGCCAGCAGCCGCCGCAG
rnacentral:rRNA from 1 species